rnacentral:rRNA from 1 species
AGAAAAUUAACCAGGUUCSCUGGUGACAGCGGAGGGAUCAUUACCGAGUUUACAACUCCCAAACCCAAUGUGAACGUUACCAAACUGAUUGCCUCGGCGGGAUCUCCUGCCCCGGGUGCGUCGCAGCCCCGGACCAAGGCGCCCGCCGGAGGACCAACCUAAAACUCUUAUUGUAUUACCCCCUCGCGGGUUUUUUUUAUAAUUCUGAGCCUUCUCGGCGCCUCUCGUAGGCGUUUUCGAAAAUGAAUCAAAACUUUCAACAACGGAUCUCUUGGUUCUGGCAUCGAUGAAGAACGCAGCGAAAUGCGAUAAGUAAUGUGAAUUGCAGAAUUCAGUGAAUCAUCGAAUCUUUGAACGCACAUUGCGCCCGCCAGUAUUCUGGCGGGCAUGCCUGUCCGAGCGUCAUUUCAACCCUCGAACCCCUCCGGGGGGUCGGCGUUGGGGAUCGGCCCUCCCUUAGCGGGUGGCCGUCUCCGAAAUACAGUGGCGGUCUCGCCGCAGCCUCUCCUGCGCAGUAGUUUGCACACUCGCAUCGGGAGCGCGGCGCGUCCACAGCCGUUAAACACCCAACUUCUGAAAUGUUGACCUCGGAUCAGGUAGGAAUACCCGCUGAACUUAAGCAUAUCAAUAAGCGGAGGAAAAGAAACCAACAGGGAUUGCCCCAGUAACGGCGAGUGAAGCGGCAACAGCUCAAAUUUGAAAUCUGGCCCCUAGGGUCCGAGUUGUAAUUUGUAGAGGAUGCUUUUGGUGAGGUGCCGCCCGAGUUCCCUGGAACGGGACGCCACAGAGGGUGAGAGCCCCGUCUGGCUGGCCGCCGAGCCUCUGUAAAGCUCCUUCGACGAGUCGAGUAGUUUGGGAAAUGCUGCUCAAAAUGGGAGGUAUAUGUCUUCUAAAGCUAAAUAUUGGCCAGAGACCGAUAGCGCACAAGUAGAGUGAUCGAAAGAUGAAAAGCACCUUGAAAAAGAGGGUUAAAAUAGUACGUGAAAUUGUUGAAAGGGAAGCGCUUGUGAACCAGACUUGGGCGCGGCGGAUCAUCCGGGGUUCUCUCCGGUGCACUUCGCCGCGUCUAGGCCAGCAUCAGUUCGUCGCGGGGGAAAAAGGCUUUCGGGAACGUGGCUCCCUCGGGGAGUGUUAUAGCCCGUUGCAUAAUACCCUGCGGUGGACUGAGGACCGCGCAUCGCAGAUGCGCAUGGGUAAGGUCCCAACCCUUUUUAAAACGGAAACAAA